AUGUUACCGCCAAAAAUACGUGUCCAUAUUCAAAUAAGACAAGAUGACGCCCUUCUCCUAUUUUAGCCAGCACUCUCCACAGAGCACCACCUUCCAUUUAUCUUGCGACGACGAGCCUCUUCAAGCACCAGCUCUUCGCACUCGACACAGAAUCAUGUCCGACGAAGGAAAACUUUUCGUCGGUGGCCUGAGCUUCGACACCACAGAGGAGUCUCUGGCGGAAGCUUUCGCCAAGUAUGGAAACAUCGCGAAAGUUGAUGUCAUCAGGGACAAAGAAACGGGAAGGUCUCGUGGAUUCGGCUUCGUAAAGUACGAUAAUGCCGAGGAUGCGAAGGACGCAUUGGAGGGAAUGAACGGCAAGUCUGUCGAUGGCAGAACCAUUCGUGUGGAUGAAGCCGGCAAGGGUGGUGGUCGCUCGGGAGGUGGAGGUGGCGGUGGAUUCAGAGGUUCCAGGGGCGGUGGCGGAUAUGGUGGUGGAGGUGGCUAUGGAGGGGGGAGAGGAAGAGGUGGGCGAGUUUACUCGCGAGGUGGUGGAGGAUAUGGUGGCGGUGACAGGGGAUAUGGUGAGAGGAGCUAUGGUGGUGGUGGAGGAGACCGCAGCUAUGGGGGUGGAGACCGCAGCUACGGGGGUGGCGGUGGAUACAGGAGCGGCGGUGGCGGAGGGUACUCUUCUGGUGGCGGAGGAUACAGAGACAAUAGGGGCCAGGGAGGCUACGGGGACCGCUCUGGGGGUUCCUAUAGAGACAGCUACGACAGUUAAGGAUGACUUUACCCUCUGGAGACUAACCUGUCCUGAACUAUCCCGUGUCAGAUGGUGAUGAGCUGGAGUUGCAGUUACUGCUUGCAGCUACAUUUUUUUUCAGGUCCAGUGUAUGGCGUUGACGUGCGUGUGUGCAGAAGUGGAGUCCGAAAUCUGCAUUAGUCCGAAGACUUGUACAUUAAAAUAUAAAAUAAUCAUCAACAAUUAAGGUCCUACAAGCUGCACCUCAUUUAGGAAACUGCUGUUAGGUGAAGAUUUGCACUAUACUGACAUGUUACAGAAGAAACAUGCACUUGUUUUAAUUUGAGUUUCAACAUUUCAUGGCUCAGUUGUUGGUGUUCAUGGCUGUGUAACAUGUUGGCGCAUGUGUUCAACUAGUUUUAAUGUGAUGAAUUUAUAUAUGAUGUAUUGUGAAUUCAAGUAUCUUCAAUAAAGGUGCAAAUCAUUAAGUGCUCAAUCCCA